CACAGGGAUUCCUUUCUGAAGAACUUGUGUCUGUUGCCUCUUGUCCUGUCCCCAUGCAUGCCUAAGAAGAAAACACCUCCCUCUCCACCACAGCUGCGCUUUCAAGUACUGGAAGAGUGAAAGUGCAUCACUUGGGCUUCUUCUCCCAGGCUGAAAAAACUCCAAUCCUCUGAUUUUCCUCUCAGGGAUUUUUUCAUAUGCUCUUCCACUAUCCUACUGUCUUACUUGGGAAUCUAAAAUACCUACAGUAAUGUAUUGAACAACAUUGCUUCUGAAUACUUCAACAAAGAUAACAAGAAGAUGAUAUCUAACCAACAUGAAAGAGCUGUGAAGACAGGGCAACUUUAAGCUAAGAAGAUCACGCAAGAUUAAGGUGCAGGAUAGACACAGAUGAUUCUGCAUGUUAAGGCAGAACUUCUUUCAAAGACGUGCUGGAAACGGUGAUGCCAUAAAUCUGUGUCAAGCCCAGAUGUGCAAGUCUCUGGUGCCUAAAAGUCAUCCCAGCAUAUUUUGAUAAAUGCUGCCAUGGUUUGUUUAGGCAGUUUAACGUAAUGUGUGUAUAUUAAAAAAAGUCACUCCAUGUACACCUGGUAAAUAUGUGAUGUAUUAACUGUACAUAAAAGGCACAGAGGUGAGGGCCAGAGGCUGUGGCUCAAACAUUGGUUGAGAAUUUUGCUCACAGGUCAUAAAAAGAGUAACAAGGAGAGUCUCCCUCUGUUUGAGCUUGCAGGAUUCAAGCUAUCAAUGUACAUCCCUUUAUAAGCAUGUGUACCCCCCACAACAGCUUUGGAACAGCUCAGCACUGAACAAAAUUGCAGAUUUCAUGAUUCUUCUGUUUAUCAUUAUCUCCAAAGAAAUGUAUCUUUCUUACUACAUAAAACAUUCAUAGUUGAGAACUUUUUGCUAACACAGGUGCUUAAUGUUGGAAACAGGAUUGUGGGUUUUUUCAGCCAGAACGAUAACAUUUAAACAGAUACACAUAUAUAGUUCCUUUAUUCCUUCUGGCUAAUUUUUCUAUUACUCACAUUCCAGGUGUUUGUUUCCUGUAUUUUCAGGGGCUUAAUUUGGUACUCCUCUUCUUGAUACCACUCUGGUCUUUU
rnacentral:lncRNA from 1 species